rnacentral:rRNA from 1 species
UACGUAGGGGGCAAGCGUUGUCCGGAAUCAUUGGGCGUAAAGCGCGUGUAGGCGGCUCGAUAAGUCUGCUGUGAAAGUCCAGGGCUCAACCCUGGGAUGCCGGCGGAUACUGUCGAGCUCGAGUCCGGAAGAGGCGAGUGGAAUUCCUGGUGUAGCGGUGAAAUGCGCAGAUAUCAGGAGGAACACCAAUGGCGAAGGCAGCUCGCUGGGACGUGACUGACGCUGAGACGCGAAAGCCGUGGGGAGCAAACAGG